rfam:Solanum lycopersicum cultivar Heinz 1706 chromosome 11, whole genome shotgun sequence.
AGCCACGCAAUGAGCACAUAGCGAAUUAUUCUUUCGCCUUUUACUAAAGAAUACCGUGUGAGCAUGGCAAAUAGUGGCAUACGCCUAUUUUUAGAGGGAGAAAUCCCAACAAUACU